AUGGCUUCUUCACCUCGAUUUGUUCUUUUGUCUCUCCUCAUUUUCUUCUCUCUCUCCCAUGCACAAACAUCUUCCUCCCACUCAAAACCCAAAGCACUCGUCCUCCCCAUCUCCAAAGAUGCCUCCACCCUCCAAUACCUCACCCAUCUCAACUUGGGAACCCCUUCCCUUCAAACAACCCUUGUUGUUGACCUUGGAGGCAGGCAUUUAUGGAUAGACUGCUCAAGUGGAUAUCAGUCAUCCACUUAUAGACCAGGACAUUGCGGCUCUGCCUCAUGUUCCCUGGCUAAAGCCGAUUGCGUUAGCAUAUGCCCCAAUCCUGCUAGGCCUGGUUGCAACAACAAUACCUGCAAAGUACUGGCCAAAAACAGUGUCUUUGGAGGUUUUCUGAUCCCUGAGGUUGCCAUUGAUACAAUCUCUAUCCGAUCCACAGAUGGCUCUAAGGCCGGUUCGCACGUUUCAAUUCCCAAUUUUAUCUUCGCUUGUGCAGAGUCCUUCAACCUAAUAAAUCUUGCUAGUGGCGCAAAGGGGAUGCUUGGCCUAGCAAAGGAACGAGUUUCAAUGCCCACGCAGCUUUCAUCUGCAUUUGGUGGAAGUUUUCGUCGAAAAUUUGCUAUAUGCUUACCUUCCAAUCCCAAAGCCAAUGGUGUCUUGUUCUUCGGAGACUCUCCUUACCAAUUCCAUCCAGGUUACGACACAUCCAAGGUCGUCGAAGUAUCUUCAAGUUUUAGGUACACCAAACUCCAUGUCAAUUAUGAAACCACAGCAUCACCUAGGUUGCAAGGAGCACAAUUGCCUGAGUACUUUGUGAAGAUCACAUCUAUUCUGGUAAACCAAAAACCAGUUCCAAUUAACUCCACAUUGCUUGAUUUCCACAAGACAGGCAUCGGUGGUUCAAGAAUAACUACAGUGCAACCUUAUACCACUCUUGAGACUUCCAUCUACAAGUCAUUUGUUAAGGUGUUUGAUGAGCAAAUGCUAGUUACUACAGGAAAUAGGAAAGUGAGAAAGGUUGCAGCUCUGUCACCGUUUAAAGAUUGUUAUCGUAAAGAAGACUUGGAUAUGUCAUUACUCGGGUUUAGUGUUCCUGACAUUUAUUUAGUGUUUGAAAAUCGGGAUGUGAAUUGGUUAAUCACCGGAGCCAAUUCAAUGGUAGAGGUAAGCAAUGAUGUGGUGUGCUUAGGGUUUUUGGAUAGAGGUCCAAACACCGGAUUGACAACAACGUCAAUAGAUAUCGGAGCACACCAAUUGCAAGACAAUCUUCUUCAGUUUGAUAUUGCUGCUUCAAGGCUUGCAUUUACAUCCACACUUCUAUUACGAGAAGUUGAGUGUUCUAACUUCAAAUUUUAAACAAGCUAUAAUGGAGGAUCACUAUAGCUUAUUAGGUUGAAAUUCAACCAAAUAAAAGAUGCUUUCAUUAAUUGUAAGUUACGUGUCCCUCAUGCAUGUUUUUGUAUUUAGUGUGCGUAUAGCUCUGUAAUCGUCGAUACUAUUAAU
rnacentral:misc_RNA from 1 species